GCUGCAAGACACUCUGCUUCUGGCUCUGAGCUUUGCCUGUCUUCAGGGAUGGAGCCCCUCCCAAGGCAAGUUCAACUGGGUUCUUUGGCAGCCGAAGUCUACACAGACCCUGCAGGGAGCGGUGGAGAAAAGUUAGAUGUCUGAAGUGUUUUUCAUUGGACCAAAAUCAAAGUGUUGGCUGGGCUACCUUCCCUUCUGGAGACUCUAAGGAAGAAUCCAUUUCCUUGUCUUUUCCAGAUCCUAGAGGCUACCUGCAUUUCUUGGCUUUUAUCCCCAAUCUUCCAUCUUCGGAGCCAGCAACAACAUAUUGAUCAUGAGGGGAGGGCUCACCCCUCACCCGGAGAAGUAGUUAGGAAAGCAAUAUGCGGAAACAAAGCCAUGAAUCUGACAAGAAAUGUACUUAAGAUUGUAUAUAUGGAGAUAAAUACCCAUUGUCCUUUGCACUUUCUGGAUGAUAAAUUAGAAAAGAAAAAUCCAAAGAAUGAAGUUGUGCUAUUUGUCCUCAUUUCUGAUUUGGGAAACUAGAGGAAAUUAAGAUGGGAAAAGACCAUGUGAGGACACAGUGAGAAGGAGACCAUAUGCAAAGCAGGAAGGAAGAUCUCACUGGAACCAAAAACCAGCCCUGCUG
rnacentral:lncRNA from 1 species